rnacentral:rRNA from 1 species
UAGGGAAUCUUCGGCAAUGGGGGGAACCCUGACCGAGCAACGCCGCGUGAGUGAAGAAGGUUUUCGGAUCGUAAAGCUCUGUUGUUAAGGAAGAACGAGCGUGAGAAUGGAAAGUUCAUGCUGUGACGGUACUUAACCAGAAAGGGACGGCUAACUACGUGCCAGCAGCCGCGGUAAUACGUAGGUCCCGAGCGUUGUCCGGAUUUAUUGGGCGUAAAGCGAGCGCAGGCGGUUAGAAAAGUCUGAAGUGAAAGGCAGUGGCUCAACCUUUGUAGGCUUUGGAAACUGUUUAACUUGAGUGCAGAGGGAGGGAGUGGGAUUCCAUGUGUAACGGUGAAAUGCGUUGAUAUAUGGAGGAACACCGGUGGCGAAAGCGGCUCUCUGGUCUGUUGCUGACGCUGGGGCUCGAAAACGUGGGGAGCGAACAGG